AGAAUCAACGCUGGCGGCGUGCCUCAGACAUGCAAGUCGAACGCGAAAGUCCCCCUCGGGGGACAAGUAGAGUGGCGCACGGGUGAGUAACACGUAGGUAAUCUACCUUCGGAUGGGGAAUAACAACCGGAAACGGUUGCUAAUACCGCAUAAUGCAGCGGCACCUAAUGGUGACAGUUGUUAAAGCGGGGGAUCGAAAGACCUCGCGUCUGAAGAGGAGCCUGCGGCGGAUUAGCUAGUUGGUAGGGUAACGGCCUACCAAGGCGACGAUCCGUA
rnacentral:rRNA from 1 species